UCCUACGGGACGCAGCAGUGAGGAAUAUUGGUCAAUGGGAGAGAUCCUGAACUAGCCAAGCCGCGUGAGGGAAGACGGCCCUAUGGGUUGUAAACUUCUUUUAUAUGGGAAUAAAGUUUGGUAUGCAUACCAUUUUGUAUGUACCAUAUGAAUAAGGAUCGGCUAACUCCGUGCCAGCAGCCGCGGUAAUACGGAGGAUCCGAGCGUUAUCCGGAUUUAUUGGGUUUAAAGGGAGCGUAGGUGGAUUGUUAAGUCAGUUGUGAAAGUUUGCGGCUCAACCGUAAAAUUGCAGUUGAAACUGGCAG
rnacentral:rRNA from 1 species